rnacentral:rRNA from 1 species
UACGGAGGGGGCUAGCGUUGUUCGGAAUUACUGGGCGUAAAGCGCACGUAGGCGGACCAGCAAGUUGGGGGUGAAAUCCCGGGGCUCAACCCCGGAACUGCCUUCAAAACUGCGGGUCUGGAGGUCGAGAGAGGUGAGUGGAAUUCCGAGUGUAGAGGUGAAAUUCGUAGAUAUUCGGAGGAACACCAGUGGCGAAGGCGGCUCACUGGCUCGAUACUGACGCUGAGGUGCGAAAGCCAGGGGAGCAAACGGG